AAGAACGGACCUCCAGAAUGAAUUAAGUUCUUAACCUGAGGUACCACUGUAUAAAGGAGGGGGUAAAAACAAGUACAGUGGUACCUCGGGUUAAGUACUUAAUUCGUUCCAGAG